rnacentral:rRNA from 1 species
AGUGAACGCUGGCGGUAGGCCUAACACAUGCAAGUCGAACGGCAGCACAGUAAGAGCUUGCUCUUACGGGUGGCGAGUGGCGGACGGGUGAGGAAUACAUCGGAAUCUACUUUUUCGUGGGGGAUAACGUAGGGAAACUUACGCUAAUACCGCAUACGACCUACGGGUGAAAGCAGGAGAUCUUCGGACCUUUCGCGAUUGAAUGAGCCGAUGCCGGAUUAGCUAGUUGGCGGGGUAAAGGCCCACCAAGGCGACGAUCCGUAGCUGGUCUGAGAGGAUGAUCAGCCACACUGGAACUGAGACACGGUCCAGACUCCUACGGGAGGCAGCAGUGGGGAAUAUUCGGCAAUGGGCGCAAGCCUGAUCCAGCCAUACCGCGUGGGUGAAGAAGGCCUUCGGGUUGUAAAGCCCUUUUGUUGGGAAAGAAAAGCAGCAGGUUAAUACCCCGCUGUUCUGACGGUACCCAAAGAAUAAGCACCGGCUAACUUCGUG